UCUCCGUAGGUGAACCUGCGGAGGGAUCAUUACUGAGUUUUCAACUCUCCAAACCAUGUGAACUUACCACUGUUGCCUCGGUGGUUUGGGUCUUCGGGCCUGACCACCGGCGGACUACUAAACUCUUGUUAAUUUUUGGCAUCCUGAAUCAUAACUAAGAAAUAAGUUAAAACUUUCAACAACGGAUCUCUUGGUUCUG
rnacentral:misc_RNA from 1 species